UGCAUUGCAGGAAACUGAUUCAGUGCAUAUUUUUAAAGUUAGAAAUGUAAUUUAAAAUUCCCAAACAAAAGUAUUGUGCAAAAUUGAACUUGUGUUUUUCAUCAUUCUAUCUCCAUGCUCAGUACAGAGAAGAGGGAUCAGUCUAGCCUGAUGUUUAUAAACUGCAUUGAGACUUCAGGAUGCCAGGAAUUCUGCUCUCAAACUCCUUUCUUGAGUAUUUACAACAUAAUCAUAUUUUGCAACUGCUAAGGGAUGAUUUUGGAGAAUUUUCUCUAAACCAAGGAAGAACAGCAUAAGAGCAUGACACUACUGGAUCUGCCAGCCGGCCUUUACAGAGUCUGCUUCACCCUUGCCGAAGCUCUGUAGUAUCCAAUGGUUUUGAUGACAGGAAUAGAGGUGAUACCUGAAGACACUCCUCAUCUCACUGCAGGUACCACAUUCAACAGCAAUGGUGGUCAUAUGUCACCCACCAUUCACUGAAGCUGCAGCUCCUGGGUGUGUGCCAAGCCCUUAACACUUUGGAGUGAUUUAUAUAUUGCAGUUUGAGGACUCAUUUCAUACAUUGCAUUUACUGAGCCAACUGUUUCUGUUGCAACCUCUGCCUGGUUAGCCUCCUGGUUUGGUUUACCUCCAGCUUAAACAACAGCAAAAUUUACUUUCUUGGGUCAUUAUUAAGUCUUUCACACUCCAAACCUGGCACAUAAACUCCAUAGAUAUCACCACAGGACUGCACUUGGACCAUCGGAAACUGUGACCUAUCCGCGGAGUCUCUCUGCAGCAUGUUAGGUCUUCCAGAGCUAGCCAAGUAAGAGUACUUGAAAUUCAGAAUUUUCUACCUGCCCAACUUCUGCAGGGUCAAGAUGAAGUUUUCUCGGACCUUCUUACAAUCCCUGCAUGACUGCUGAGCCGUAAAGCAAGGACGAACCAUGCAAUUCCAGCGUUCAAAGGCUGUGUCCUAACUUCAGCACUGCUGUUUCUUACUGUGUGUCUUUACGGGGAGAUGUAUGCUUUUCCCUGGAGACUGGCACAGAGAUGUGGAAGCUAAUACAACUGGAGGAACAUUUUGACAUGCCCAAGAGGAGCAUCUGCUCCAGUGGAGACAUUUCCCAGGUCUCCUGAGCAGUGGAGCAGCGCCACGUGGCACCACUGCGAGGAGCUCUGCUGACACAGCUGACCUGCCCGAUCCAGAGAAGAGCCUGCUUUCCGCUUCAGGGCUCUCCACCCAUCAGUAAGGACAAGCUCCGGUAAAACUGUAAAUGAUGGCAGCGCUAACUCGAACAAGCCCAAGAAGUGAGUGCACCCCCCGGAUGGGCUCCUGGGAAGCCUUCAAUCAUCAUAACAGCUGAAAAGCCCACUGGAGAUCGUGAUGAAAUUGUUCUGCCUGGCAUGCAAAACCUCGUUGCUGAACAAGGAGGAAUCUUCCCAGGAGAUCUGCAGCCAAUGUUAACUCUGCAGUUACAGAAUUACUCACCUACAUGAGUGGGGUUCAGAUUCAGGAGUUAAAAGAUGCUACUCAAAAAUUUUCUAGAAGAAACACCUCAUCUCCUCCUUACCCACCUCUAUACUGCAACUUGAAGAAUACCUUCAACAUUUGUAUGCUUCCCUCAUUGGCUUAAUGAGCUCUCUGGUGUUCAUUUUAAUAAGAAGAGCAUUUGAGCUACAAUUUCAGCAACAAUGAGGCCAACGUGAAAAUCCUAUAGGAAAUUUAUUUGAUCUAAAACAAUCUUCAUUCAAGCUUUAGCCAGCCACGCUGUGCAGCCUGUGAUUGAACAGUUAUAACAGCUGCAACUCACCCAUUUUGUCAUAGGAACAUAGGUUUGACCUACUAGUUCUGUCAAGUCUGCUUCUUGCUGUUGACAAUGCUCUUCAGGAAGGCAAUCCUUAACUCUGCACCACACAAUAAUGUACUAGCUCCCCAUAUAAUGCUGCACGUAAAAGCAAAAGAGCCCUUCUCAAACCUCGCAGAAGAUCCUGUAUUUGAAGCCAUAAGAAUGUAUUGCUAUUAUUUUAUCUUGCAUAACAACAAAAAGUUCAUACAGAUCUGUAAAAAUUACCCAUAAAUACAGAUUUACUCAGUAAUUGCAACAUGAAUUGCACAGAAUGACUAUAUGUAGCAGGAAGAAGCAUUUCUACUUAUUUAUUUCAAAUGUAAUGGGUAUUAAUGGAGCCAGAUAGACCACCUGUUCUCAUACUAGGCAAGGAGCUAUUCGAUAUCCUCCAUAUUCUUCAUAUAUUUUUAAUAGUUCAUUUAUUCAUUCUCAUUCUUCCAAUUUUGCAGUCAGUUAUGAUGCAGCUUCCCAAACUUCUACUAGUUUCUACUAUCCUUCUUUACAUUUUUGCUUUGAUAUACUCCUCAUAAAUCAAGGAAAAACUGGCAAAUCUCUCUGACAUCCUGAUUCUAUAAAAUAGUUCAGCAGGUGAAAACACUGUCCAUGUAUAAGCAGUGCUGCUGACGUUAACAGUGGCAUGAACAAAGUGCUGCACCUGUAGCUGAGCUCAGCCUGCUGACCAGGACCUGUGAGGGCUGUUGGAGUGUGCACUGACAACCCCUGCAUAUUUGGUGGACAGACAAAAUUCAGAUGCAUCGCAUGGCACGGUGAAGACUGCGUGGAUCUCCCCAUCUCUUCCAUAUCCUGUUCUGAUACAGAAGAUGGCACUCAUAUUUCAUCCAUCCUUCACUAUCUGCAUGCCUACCUGAUGCGUAGAGAGGGUGGCAGGCACGUUCACUAUUAGAUUUAUGGCCUACCUGGUCCAUAGUCUACUACUACUGCCAAGUGAAGUUACAUUAGAAAAAACACUGAUCGCUAAUUAAGAGGGGGUUACCCAGGUUAGCUUCUCUUGCCAGUUUAUUAAAAGCAUCUGUAUUUACUCAUGCCACCGACUCUGUAUUGUCCUGUUUCAAUACUUUCAUUAAUGAUUCGCAUGUUUAUGUGCUCUGCAAGAUCAAAAAUUAAAUUGUUCAAUAUGGCAGAACACA